UAUCAGAAGUGCGAAUGCUGACAUGAGUAGCGAUAAAGAGGGUGAAAAACCCUCUCACCGUAAGCCCAAGGUUUCCUACGCAACGUUAAUCGGCGUAGGGUGAGUCGGCCCCUAAGGCGAGGCAGAGAUGCGUAGCUGAUGGGAAGCAGGUUAAUAUUCCUGCACCGCCGCACAAUGCGAUGGGGGGACGGAUAGCAGAAGGUUGUCCGGGUGUUGGAUGUCCCGGUCCCUGCUCGUAGAUUGCUGUUUAGAAAAUCUGGCAGCGUGAUUCGAGAGGCAGGGCGAGCUCACUUUGGUGAGUGAAGCAAUUGAAAGUUGUUCCAGGAAAAGCCUCUAAGCUCUAGUUGUGCGGGACCGUACCGCAAACCGACACAGGUGGGCGAGAUGAGUAUUCUAAGGUGCUUGAGAGAACUCAGGAGAAGGAACUCGGCAAAUUGGCACCGUAACUUCGGGAGAAGGUGCGCCCUUGUAGCUUGGCUGUGAACAACAGUAGGGUGAAGGGGUUGCAAUGAAAUGGUGGCUGCGACUGUUUAAUAAAAACACAGCACUCUGCAAACACGAAAGUGGACGUAUAGGGUGUGACGCCUGCCCGGUGCUGGAAGAUUAAAUGAUGGGGUGCAAGCUCUUGAUUGAAGUCCCAGUAAACGGCGGCCGUAACAAUAACGGUCCUAAGGUAGCGAAAUUCCUUGUCGGGUAAGUUCCGACCUGCACGAAUGGCGUAACGAUGGCCACACUGUCUCCUCCUGAGACUCAGCGAAGUUGAAAUGUUUGUGAUGAUGCAAUCUACCCGCGGCUAGACGGGAAGACCCCAUGAACCUUUACUGUAGCUUUGCAUUGGGCUUUGGAUAAAUUUGUGUAGGAUAGGUGGGAGGCUUUGAAGCGAGGACGCUAGUUCUCGUGGAGCCAACCUUGAAAUACCACCCUGAUUUGUUUAGAGUUCUAACCUUGGUCCGUGAAGCCGGGCUGGGGACAGUGCAUGGUAGGCAGUUUGACUGGGGCGGUCUCCUCCAAAAAGGUAACGGAGGAGUUCGAAGGUACGCUAGAUACGGUCGGAAAUCGUAUUGAUAGUGCAAUGGCAUAAGCGUGCUUAACUGCGAGACCUACAAGUCGAGCAGAUGCGAAAGCAGGACAUAGUGAUCCGGUGGUUCUGUAUGGAAGGGCCAUCGCUCAACGGAUAAAAGGUACUCUGGGGAUAACAGGCUGAUUCCUCCCAAGAGUUCACAUCGACGGGGGAGUUUGGCACCUCGAUGUCGGCUCAUCACAUCCUGGGGCUG
rnacentral:rRNA from 1 species